rnacentral:tRNA from 1 species
GGGCUGAUAGUCUAGUGGUAAAAUCCGAGGCUGGCAGUCUUGGGUCCUGGGUUCGAUUCCCAGUCAGUCCA